rnacentral:rRNA from 1 species
UACAGGGGGGGCAAGCGUUGUUCGGAAUUACUGGGCGUAAAGGGCGCGUAGGCGGGCAUUCAAGUCUGUGGUGAAAUCCGACAGCUCAACUGUCGAACUGCCGUGGAUACUGGGUGGCUCGAGGGAGGUAGGGGCGCGCGGAACUAUUGGUGGAGCGGUGAAAUGCGUUGAUAUCAAUAGGAACUCCGGUGGCGAAGGCGGCGCGCUGGACCUCUUCUGACGCUGAGGCGCGAAAGCCAGGGGAGCAAACGGG